UACGAAGGGUGCAAGCGUUACUCGGAAUUACUGGGCGUAAAGCGUGUGUAGGUGGUUCGUUAAGUCUGAUGUGAAAGCCCUGGGCUCAACCUGGGAAUGGCAUUGGAAACUGGCGACCUAGAGUGCGGUAGAGGGUAGUGGAAUUCCCGGUGUAGCAGUGAAAUGCGUAGAGAUCGGGAGGAACAUCUGUGGCGAAGGCGACUGCCUGGACCAGCACUGACACUGAGGCACGAAAGCGUGGGGGAGCAAACAGG
rnacentral:rRNA from 1 species